AUGACUCUCGGCAACGGAUAUCUCGGCUCUCGCAUCGAUGAAGAACGUAGCGAAAUGCGAUACUUGGUGUGAAUUGCAGAAUCCCGUGAACCAUCGAGUUUUUGAACGCAAGUUGCGCCCGAAGCCAUUAGGCUAAGGGCACGUUUGCCUGGGCGUCGUA
rnacentral:rRNA from 1 species